rnacentral:rRNA from 1 species
GACGAACGCUGGCGGCGUGCUUAACACAUGCAAGUCGAACGGAAAGGCCCUGCUUUUGUGGGGUGCUCGAGUGGCGAACGGGUGAGUAACACGUGAGUAACCUGCCCUUGACCUUGGGAUAACUUCAGGAAACUGGGGCUAAUACCGGAUAGGAGCUCCUGCUGCAUGGUGGGGGUUGGAAAGUUUCGGCGGUUGGGGAUGGGCUCGCGGCUUAUCAGCUUGUUGGUGGGGUAGUGGCUUACCAAGGCUUUGACGGGUAGCCGGCCUGAGAGGGUGACCGGCCACAUUGGGACUGAGAUACGGCCCAGACUCCUACGGGAGGCAGCAGUGGGGAAUAUUGCACAAUGGGCGGAAGCCUGAUGCAGCAACGCCGCGUGCGGGAUGACGGCCUUCGGGUUGUAAACCGCUUUCGCCUGUGACGAAGCGUGAGUGACGGUAAUGGGUAAAGAAGCACCGGCUAACUACGUG